UGGUCAUUUAGAGGAAGUAAAAGUCGUAACAAGGUCUCCGUAGGUGAACCUGCGGAGGGAUCAUUACACAAAUAUGAAGGCGGGCUGGAACCUCUCGGGGUUACAGCCUUGCUGAAUUAUUCACCCUUGUCUUUUGCGUACUUCUUGUUUCCUUGGUGGGUUCGCCCACCACUAGGACAAACAUAAACCUUUUGUAAUUGCAAUCAGCGUCAGUAACAAAUUAAUAAUUACAACUUUCAACAACGGAUCUCUUGGUUCUGGCAUCGAUGAAGAACGCAGCGAAAUGCGAUAAGUAGUGUGAAUUGCAGAAUUCAGUGAAUCAUCGAAUCUUUGAACGCACAUUGCGCCCUUUGGUAUUCCAAAGGGCAUGCCUGUUCGAGCGUCAUUUGUACCCUCAAGCUUUGCUUGGUGUUGGGCGUCUUGUCUCUAGCUUUGCUGGAGACUCGCCUUAAAGUAAUUGGCAGCCGGCCUACUGGUUUCGGAGCGCAGCACAAGUCGCACUCUCUAUCAGCAAAGGUCUAGCAUCCAUUAAGCCUUUUUUCAACUUUUGACCUCGGAUCAGGUAGGGAUACCCGCUGAACUUAAGCAUAUCAAUAAGCGGAGGAA
rnacentral:rRNA from 1 species